rnacentral:hammerhead_ribozyme from 1 species
AUACAGCUGAAAAGCCCCAAAUAGGACCAAACGCGCGUCCUGAAU